UUACCAUGCAGUCGAACGGCAGCACGAGAGAGCUUGCUCUCUUGGUGGCGAGUGGCGGACGGGUGAGUAAUAUAUCGGAACGUGCCUAGUAGCGGGGGAUAACUACUCGAAAGAGUGGCUAAUACCGCAUACGCCCUACGGGGGAAAGGGGGGGAUCGCAAGACCUCUCACUAUUAGAGCGGCCGAUAUCGGAUUAGCUAGUUGGUGGGGUAAAGGCUCACCAAGGCAACGAUCCGUAGCUGGUUUGAGAGGACGACCAGCCACACUGGGACUGAGACACGGCCCAGACUCCUACGGGAGGCAGCAGUGGGGAAUUUUGGACAAUGGGGGAAACCCUGAUCCAGCCAUCCCGCGUGUAUGAUGAAGGCCUUCGGGUUGUAAAGUACUUUUGGCAGAGAAGAAAAGGUACCUCCUAAUACGAGGUACUGCUGACGGUAUCUGCAGAAUAAGCACCGGCUAACUACGUGCCAGCAG
rnacentral:rRNA from 1 species